UUGUGCUUCACCUCUGCUGCAAUUGUUGUCCUGUGGUUGAACGUAUAGUGCAUCGCAGCUUCUAGACUGUCAAAUUUGUCAUUGCUGCAACGUUUUCAAGAUCAAAUCGUCUGUUAUAAUCACUGAUUAAGUAAAAGAAAAAAAUAUUGCUUACAGGCUGAGGGAUGUAAGCAAAGAGUCAGUGUUGAAAGUGAAGCCGAUGUUGAAUUUGUUGAGAGCUCUUGUUGACAUAUCAAAACCAAGGGCUGUGCCCAUGGAGAAAAGGGUGGUUCCUACAACUCCUGAGAAGUAUACAAUUGGGUCAAAUUCUUUAGAAGUAUUUGCUUUUAAUCCAAGCCCUGCAUUAAUUCCAAUGUAGUCGUGCACGUACCGCAAUUCUGCCUGUGAGUACAUUACAUUCAUGAUUCUUGAAUUCAGAGGUUUAAUCUUGGUAAAAUCAGAAAAAGGAAAAAAAAAAAAAGGGGCAGGUGACUUUACCCUGGUAGAAUCAGGAAUUAUCAAUCUGAUAGCUGCCUUAAGUCCUGGUAUAAUCUCUCCAACUACAGGAAUCAUUUAGGUCAACAAAUCAGUAUUUGACCAUUAUCCACUUGAUCCAAAAUAAGAUAUAUAUAUAUAUAUAUGUGUGUGUGUGCAUAUAUAGAGUCUACUUUGUGAAAUGUUGGAAGAUGAAGAGAAGAUACAUUGACAGGAGAAAUCAAGAUUCCAGUCAAUGCACUGGUCGUGAUAGUGGUUUGGUGGUUGAUGAGCAUAAUUCCUGUGGAGAAGAUCUAGUGAAAACAAAUGUGUAAGUAAAGUUAAAAGCAGAGAUAUAAUAAAAAAAAAUGCGAUCACCAGAAGAUGAUAUGUAUAUAUAUAACCUCUGGCCUUUUUGCCAAUAUCAUCAUAAAGACCAGGACGCUUUCUCA